UCAUAUUCAUUUUGGCAGCACAUAUAUUGGAAUGAUACAGAGAAAACUACUACGGCCCCUGUGUAAGGAUGGCACGCAAAUUUAUAAAGCAUUAAAAAAAUCA